rnacentral:misc_RNA from 1 species
CUAAUAUCCUGUUGAUUAAUGUGAAUUUACUCCACAUUUCUUGUGUGCUUUGUUGAGUUUGUUUCCAAGACGGUUGACCCAAUAUAUUCUCUCAAAAAUAAAAAAUUCCUAGAAACAGGAGACAUCGGGGAAGAGAGAGAAAAGAAAAUGGGGAAUUCAUUUGGAUGUUCUGCCUCCGGCGAAAGAUUAGUAUCUGCGGCCAGAGAUGGUGAUUUGGUCGAGGCUAAAAUGCUUUUGGAUUGCAAUCCUUGUCUUGCGAAGUACUCUACUUUUGGUGGCCUCAAUUCUCCUCUCCAUUUCGCCGCCGCUAAAGGCCACAACGAGGUUGCUGCUUCCAUCACCCCCGGUUUUUGUCCUCCAUUUUUUUUUAAGCCAAAAUUUGUACAAUUUUUUUUUAAUUAAUGUGAUGACUUUUGCUAGAUUGUUGCUUUGUUGCUUGAGAAUGGAGCUGACGUGAAUUCAAGGAAUUACUGCGGCCAGACGGCAUUAAUGCAAGCUUGUCGGUAUGGACACUGGGAAGUUGUACAGACUCUUCUUCUCUUUAGAUGCAAUGUUACACGAGCGGAUUACCUCAGCGGAAGGACUGCUCUGCAUUUUGCAGCUGUAAAUGGCCAUGCGAGAUGUAUAAGACUAGUUGUUGCUGACUUUGUUCCUAGCGCUCCUUUUGAAGCUAUGCAUUCUCAGACAGAAGCUGACACUGGGGAUGCUUCCAGCAUGAAGAACAAAUUUGACCAGAGGUGAUAGUGGACUGGGGAUUAUAUAGUCUUUCCUGCCUGAUGGUUUAUUGAUUUUGUUGUCUCUUAUAUUUUUUUCCCUUGGGAAGAAUAUAAGUCUUGACAUAGAUGUUCCCACUUCCCUUUAGAUAUAUUUCUUAAAGGAGAAGCUGUAAUAUGUUUGAUUUUGUGCUCAUUUAGUGGUAUCAAAUUCCAGUGAAUUGUUUGAUUCAAGUUUUUUGAAUGCAGUGCGUUGUCCAAGUUUGUCAAUAAGGCAGCUGAUGGUGGUAUCACUGCUCUUCACAUGGCUGCAUUGAAUGGAUAUUUUGAUUGUGUGCAGCUUUUACUUGAUAUUCAUGCAAAUGUGUCAGCCGUGACAUUUCAUUAUGGAACAACAAUGGAUUUGAUAGGUUUGCCUUUUUGCUUGAUACAUUUGUAGAGAAAAUGGAUCGGGCCUAAUUCCAUCCCAAAAGCUAGAUCAAGGGAGGAGUUUUGCCCAAGUUUUAUAUAUAGUACAAACUUUAUCCCAAACCAAUGUGGGACAACAACAUUCUAAUCUGUUUCAUAAAUACUUGCUUUUAUAGUUCAUACUUAUGACUGUAAAUGUAUUUCUAGGAGCUGGAAGCACUCCUUUGCACUAUGCUGCUUGUGGGGGAAAUUUGAAGUCUUGUCAGAUCCUUCUUGCAAGAGGUGCUGGUAGGAUGACAUUAAACUGCAAUGGGUAGUUGCUUUGGUCUUCCUUUUGCUUUUGUUCUUUAUUUUGUUGGUGCAUGUUCGCUGGCACCUAUGUUUAGAAUGGCAUAUAAAAUUCCUGCAUCUUUCCAGGUGGUUGCCGGUUGAUGUUGCCAGGAUGUGGGGGCGUCAUUGGCUUGAACCCUUGUUGACGCAAAAUUCUGACUCCAUCAUACCAAGAUUUCCUUAUUCUAAUUACUUAUCCUUGCCUCUUUUGAGCGUACUUACCAUAGCAAGGUACUUAUGCAACAUGAUAUAUAUGCACAUGUGAGCAUGUGUAUUCAUUUCUUGUGUGUGUAACUAAAGGUGGUGAUUUCAAUAGGUGAACAAAGCAUGAAACUGGCCUUGUUCUCUAAAUAAUAAGCUGCCGAAUGAGGCAGCCUACUACCUAUAUCAAUUUUACAAGUUUCGUAUCAGCAAAUAGGUCAUUUCGUUUGGCUAUGAACAGCCUGAGCUUGCUUGGUUUCUCAUGGAUUAAACCUCAGCUUAUACAAGUUUUGCCAGCAAAGUUAGUUCCUAAUACAGAGCCUACUUCAAUAAUAGAUGAAUAUGAGUGCAGGUGUGGGUCUCUUGUAAUUUGAUGUAGAGCACAAUAUGCCUAUUUGGCUAUUCCAUUUCUGCUUUUUCUAGUAUGAACUGUAUAAUCAACCGAUAACUUAAAAUAAUAGUACUGAUGAUAAUAAAUAAAACUUAUAAGCCCUUUCUACAGCUGACUGAUGAAUGGUCUAAAACUGAAAGUGGAAACUUUUGUGUUUCUCAAUAUACUAGAAAUUCCUAUCACUACUUCUAGGAGGGGGGAAAGUUCAUAUAAAAUACAGAAAUAUUUGGAAUAUAUUUGGUUGGAAAUGUGUACUUCUCAUAUUUCAUGUAUUUGUCCAUUCAUAUGCACAUACCUAUAUGUGUGUUUUUGUGAGAGUACACUAUUCCUAUAACAUAUGCCCCACGAAUAACAAAAGGUCUUGUAUGUCAUUCAUGUGACUCUUUUAUUGGUCCAUGCAUGCAAGAUGGAUGCAAUUUGUUACCAUUCCCUGCUAGUUAAUUGAUGAAAUGGAUCAUUGUGUAUGUUUCAAUCUUAUGGGGCUGAUUUGUUUCAAAAUCCUUUUGGCAGAUGGAGUCUUAAAAGAAUGCCUAAAUUGGUAUCACUUAUACCAUUUGUUUGUGUUUAAUUAUGUGAAUUAAAUUAUUUCGCCAGAAAAAUUAAUUUAUGAUUGAGGAAAGAAAGAAUCAUGUGCUUUUUUUAUAUGCUUCAAAUUGUUAUGUCUUUGUUUUGUUGAUAAAUAAAAAAUGAGUGAAGAUAAUGUAGAUGAAGCACAGCCCCAGUGUUUUGGUGGUUUUGUUGAGACCUUUGGUUUUUUGAAGGCAAAGGGAGAUGGAUCUGCAUUUUCUAUAAACCAGUGAAACUUGGUCUAGGGGACGCCAUAUGGAUCUGCAUGCGAUCAUCUGCUCAAGGAAUGGAAUUAUUCUGCCAUAUAAUGAUUCAUUACUAACUCUGUAUUAAAGGCUUUAACUGCCCAUGUGAAAAAUUCUCUUGUUAUGUUGCUAAAAUAUCCCUUCUAGUUUUUUUACUGCUCAUUGAUUAGCCAAACAAAUCUAAACCUGUUGACAUCCUUGGAGUUUGGCUUAAUAAGUGGAAGUUUAGGAUCCUUAUGCAAAUAACUUCAAUCCAAAAUCAUUGCAUUACAGUAAAUGUGAUUUUUCUGAACUGUUGUUUGUAGAGCGUUCGGGAUGCAGUGUUCAACAACCUCCUCUGAUGACCCUGAUAUUUGUGCUGUUUGCCUAGAGAGAGCAUGUAAUGUAGCUGCUGAAGGUUUGUAAUUCCUGGUUUUUAUAUUUAUCUAGGUUUUCCUUUUGUAUUCUUAGUUACAUUGGAUCUCGUGAUUUGGCGUAUCUUACUUAUCAAAGCUGGAAUAAAGUAUUCAUAAGUCCAUUGCUCUUGAGGAUGCCACCAUAUUGCCUUCCUCAAUAAAGAUCACGUGUUUAAUAAUAUAAGCGAAAUUCAAAGUCUGCACCAACCAAUGAAGAGCUCUUAUUUAAUGCCUUGUAAUUGAUAUUGUUUCUAUUGUAGUUAAUGCUUUUUCCUUAUCUCUAGGUUCUAAUUAUUUACUUAAUAAUUUUUCAAUGCUCUAAAGGGAUAUAAAUUGAAUAAUUUCAUUUAUAGGAAUGCUGGUCAUAUGUUAAUCCUUUUGUUUUGGACACCUCGUCCACAAUAAUGAACUUUUGCCAUCAAAUUACUAGAUUCUCUAGAUAACACUUCCGAGUUUGACUGAAACUUUUAAGCCACACUCUACUGUAGUUAAGCAACAUAAAACCACAGUUACAUCCACACAUUCCUGAAGAGUAAAGGAUGUAAGGGCUCAAAGAAAAUGCUACGUUGCCCUCAUUCUCAUCUAAUGUAUGUCUUUUCAUGUCUACCUUUGAUUUACUUCAUCAUCUUACCAGGGAUAUUCUUAUAUGUGACCUUAGUGAACAGACCAUGUCAUUCUAAUAACCAAUAUGAGUUUUCAAAUGAAGCCUAUGAGUGGUCCUCUUCAAAUUGUUGUUUAACAGGUUUUUGGUCAAUCUCUUUGGUUGAAGAGGAUUAAUAUCUUGUGUUUGCGCAUUUUUCCCUUAGUUAACAAGAA